rnacentral:rRNA from 1 species
GCGUGGAGGAUUGUAAAGGGUUUUACGGAAUUGUAAACUCCUUUUGUUAGAGAAGUAUAAUGACGGUAUCUAACGAAUAAGCACCGGCUAACUCCGUGCC